AAUCAAGAAUAAUUUUUAAACGAAAAUCUACGGCUCAAUGCAAUUUAACUACCAUCUCUGAACAUAUAUUCAAAGAUGGAUUUUUAAUUUAUCAAAAAAGAGUAACUCUACAUUGAAAUUUUUUCAUCAAAAAUUUUAGUAAAUUUUUUUUAAAAUAAAAAUAUUUUUUAUAUUUAAUUAUAAUAAGCAAAAGCAUACAAAAUAACAUA
rnacentral:lncRNA from 1 species